rnacentral:lncRNA from 1 species
CUGCCCAUACCUGAGCAUCUAGCUCCUUCUGCUGGAGUAGCCUUUUCCGGAAGUCAGCAUGUGCCGUACGGCGGCGGAGGACAUCUUCCGACUCGCUCGCCAUCGGAAUAUUCUCAAUCACCUUGCCUAAAUUCAAAUGACUUGAAGAAAACGAAACAGGAAUAGUGUGAUCUUCUACUCUUCUCUUCUUGAAGAAGUGGAGGUAGCAAUUGAGUGGGCUUAAGCUAAAUUGUGACUUUAUUCAAAGCCCAAUAAUAUCAAAACACUUGAAACAUUAAGACAAAAUCAUAUCCAAAUUUUGAGAUUGUUUAAAGGAAUUUUGAGUUGAUUGAGAUCAGGGGGAAAAAGUUG